AUUGAACGCUGGCGGCAGGCCUAACACAUGCAAGUCGAGCGGGGUUUUCGGACCUAGCGGCGGACGGGUGAGUAAUGCGUAGGAAGCUGCCCGAUAGAGGGGGAUACCAGUUGGAAACGACUGUUAAUACCGCAUAAUGUCUACGGACCAAAGUGUGGGACCUUCGGGCCACAUGCUAUCGGAUGCGCCUACGUGGGAUUAGCUAGUUGGUGAGGUAAUGGCUAGCCAAGGCGACGAUCUCUAGCUGGUUGGAGAGGAUGAUCAGCCACACUGGAACGGAGACACGGUCCAGACUCCUACGGGAGGCAGCAGUGGGGAAUAUUGGACAAUGGGCGCAAGCCUGAUCCAGCCAUGCCGCGUGUGUGAAGAAGGCCUUCGGGUUGUAAAGCACUUUCAGCGAGGAGGAAGGGUGGUGUGUUAAUAGCACAUCAUUUUGACGUGACUCGCAGAAGAAGCACCGGCUAACUCUGUGCCAGCAGCCGCCGUAAAAC
rnacentral:rRNA from 1 species